rnacentral:lncRNA from 1 species
UAGCCAUAAUAUAUGUGCAGGAUCAGUUCUAUUAUAUAUAAAUAUAUAUAUAUAUACAGUAUAACCUACACAUUUUUUGUGAUGAAUAAUUUGAAGUGAUCAUUUUGUUUUUCUUUUUCUGGAUGAUGUGAUGUCUUUGUUUGUUGACUUAACCAUUGUAUACUUAAAGAAGAUUGUGUGCAGUGUUUUGUAACUGUGAUAUGUUUUUGCCAUGUGGACUUAAAGGCAAGAAUGAUAACUAAGUCAGACCUCGAAUGUGGUCUACAAAUAAACCAAAGUGUUCUGGUCAUUUUACACAAUAACAAUGUGUAUACACCAUUAAAAUCAGUGGUGGUCAAUUCUUAUUUUGCUUUCUAUGGUAGAUUUGUUAGGUAUAAAAUUAGUUCUUCUGACUCCUUUUGCAAAAAAAAAAAAAAAAAUUAUGCUGCUCUCCAAAAUUUGAAAUAAUUUAUAUCCCUUCUACAUCUUAAACCUCAAAUAGACUCAAUCAAACAUAGCAUCUGUUGUGAUGUGCCAAGAAGAAUUUUUUUCCCGCACUGUCAACAAGUAUGUAUGGAAUAUGGCUAUCAUCACAGUUAAGCAGAAUGAAUUAUAUCAUGCUUUUUAACCAUUUUCCUUUGAAAAUGCCAAUAAAUUAUGUUUUCAACUGCCAGAUAAAUACUUUGCUAUAUAAUGUCUACAUUUUCCAUAACUAUACACCAUGCAUGAUUCCUACCAUCCUUAUUGAUAUAGCUUGUAGAAAGGCAGUCUGUCAACUAGUUCCUGUUUUAUAGCUACUGGAAUCCAUUUUGUUCUAAUACCACUGUUUUGACAACUGCCAUACAAAGAACAUCAAGCUAGGUGCUUAAGGAAACAACCUUUGUAUCUAUUGUACUUUAAAGUUUGGUAGAAAGUCAGCACUCCAUACAUGCUGUCAUAGAACCAAGAGAAAGAAACUAAAUCAAUAAAAGCUGGAGGCAGCAAAUGCAGUACUCUAGCACAACUAUACUCACACUAUAUAUACUGUAUAUAUAUAUAUAUAUAGUGUGAACAUCUCCCAAAGAAAAAAAAAAUAAAUU